CCUACGGGAGGCAGUAGUGGGGAAUAUUGGACAAUGGGCGAAAGCCUGAUCCAGCCAUGCCGCGUGUGUGAAGAAGGCCUUCGGGUUGUAAAGCACUUUCAGUGGGGAAGAAAGCCUUGGGGCUAAUACCCUCGAGGAAGGACAUCACCCACAGAAGAAGCACCGGCUAACUCCGUGCCAGCAGCCGCGGUAAUACGGAGGGUGCGAGCGUUAAUCGGAAUUACUGGGCGUAAAGCGCGCGUAGGCGGUCUGAUAAGCCGGUUGUGAAAGCCCCGGGCUCAACCUGGGAACGGCAUCCGGAACUGUCAGGCUAGAGUGCAGGAGAGGAAGGUAGAAUUCCCGGUGUAGCGGUGAAAUGCGUAGAGAUCGGGAGGAAUACCAGUGGCGAAGGCGGCCUUCUGGACUGACACUGACGCUGAGGUGCGAAAGCGUGGGUAGCAAACAGGAUUAGAUACCCCGGUAGUC
rnacentral:rRNA from 1 species